GGGGCAUGGUUUAGCAAUGACCUUCUGUGUGUGUGUGUGUGCGCGCGCGCGCAAGGGUGCGCGCAGGACAGGGCUCCUAACACCACGUGGAAGCCAAAGAUACCCCCAGAGUGCCACCUCGUUUUCUGCCUGUUUGCUUUACUUCAUCUCCCCUUCCCCCGCCACACCUUGCUGAACCCCAAAAUUCCUGGAGAGAAGAUCUCAUCUUUGGCUCCCUUUUCAUGCUGUCCCUCCGGUAUCGGACCCAGGAUUUCCGCUUCAGAAAACAAGCAGCGCUGUCUGCUCCCAGGAAGUUCUUCCUCUCCUCUCACUCCAGUCUUUCUUGCUGCUGAAAAGCUCUAUAUUUGAAUAAGAGAAAGAGUGAACGGGGGCGCCUGGGUGGCACAGCGGUUAAGCGUCUGCCUUCGGCUCAGGGCGUGAUCCCGGCGUUAUGGGAUCGAGCCCCGCAUCAGGCUCCUCUGCUAUGAGCCUGCUUCUUCCUCUCGCACUCCCCCUGCUUGUGUUCCCUCUCUCGCUGGCUGUCUCUAUCUCUGUCAAAUAAAUAAAUAAAAUCUUUAAAAAAAAAAAAAGAGAAAGAGUGAACGAAGAAUAAAUAUAUUAUAUGGGAAUAAAUCUACUGGUGGGAUCAACAUUUCCUAAUAAGAUGAUCCAUAACUGAAAGUAUCAUGUGCAGACCUACAAUCAGUAAUAUCCUUUCUCAGUACUCAUAAAUAUCUCUACUUCCCCAUUUCUCUUCAUGUCCUCUUUCCCCCUAUUUAAUACCACACAUGAAAGUUACUUAACAAUCUUUAGCUCUGUGUUAAGCACAGUGCAGAGAAUAUAAAAAUGAGCAGAGUAUAGUCUCCCCCAUCCAGAAGCUGACAGUUGAGUGAGGGAGAAAAGGAAGACACAAGGUAAUUAUAGCUGAAGACAAUGUGCAGAGAGAAUAUAUAGUCAGAGUGACACAAAGGAGUAGAGGAGAUCAAAGGAAAAAAAUUUGUUCAGAGGCAGAAAAUCCAGGAAGAGGUAGGCAGAGGUAAUGUUUAAAGUGGACCUUGAUGAUUGUGUAGGAUUUUAGUAGUCAGAGAUUGGGAAGACAGAACUCGAAGGAAAGACAUAGCUACUGGGAAGGAUUUCUUGACUUUCGGCAUCAUUUGAUAUUGAACUUCUGUUCAUCAUGAGAGAGUGAAAUGCAAGGACCAGUGAAAUUUAAGAUAAAACUACAGAAUCUGGAGGCUUUGAAUACACAAGAUAAGAGCCAGGGCCUGGGUCCCAACUCAGGUUCCAUUUAUCCCCACUUCUCUUCCACUUGAUCUUAUUGAAGGGGCAAUGGUUCAAAUGGGACAGGGUACCCAUUAUGCCUCCAUCUAUAUAUCUCUCAUCACCUCUUUCUCCCCACUGAGUUCCUUAAUAAGAAUAAAAGUGUUUCUUAAUCUCAUCAAUGAGAAGACCACAAAGGGCUGAAAAGCAUAUACCACACAAAUUAAGUCAGGUAAUUUGCAUACCUGGGGAAAGAGAGAAACCCCUCCUCCCAUCUCCAUAGUCAAUUUUCCUAGAUCUAAUGACGCUCUAUGUCAAUAAAUAUCUAUUUUUCCUCCUUCUCUGGACGAGAGGUGAGGUGAAAUAUCAGAUGUAAACUAAAGUUUGUCAUAAAAAUCCCUCAUAGAACAGUCUCCCAAGUACUGUCAUUGGAAGGUGGAGGAGGGGUGCCUGUGC
rnacentral:lncRNA from 1 species